UCCAAUCUACCUCCUCCAACUCCAAUCCACCGCAGGCCUCCUUCUCCUCCCAAUAUCUGCUCCUGCUUCUUCUCCUUCUUCCUUCUCCCUUCUUCCUCCUCGCCCUUGCACUCUGUCGCGAAUCUCUGAUCUACUGCUGAUGUUUCUCCUCGAAUUUCUGAUCUCCCACUGCUCUUUAUCCUCUAAUCCUUGAGCAUGGCGGCGGCGGUGGACCGUGCUCUCGUUGGGACGCGAAGGAGGCAGGAAGUACAAAGAGGGAGGGAUGGAGAGGACCACGCUGCGGCCGCUGCCCUCUACUCGUCAUCUUCAAGCGCAUGAUUUGAAGAAUCCUCCGGCGGUGGCGCGCGGCUUCUCUCUGGCGACGCGUGAUUUGGAGGACCCUCCGGCGGCGGCGAGGAUCAGGCCUUCUUCAACGGAGGCAGCAGUGGCUUCUCCCCUUCCUUGGGCUUCACAGUUGUCAACGCUUUUCUAGAGUCGACGCAAGAAGAUGAGUCGAGUCUAAAUUUUUUUCCUUAGCUAGCAGAGCUGCAAUGGUAAGGGUCGGUUCUUCAAGUUCUUAGACCCUUCUUAGCACCGGGUUUUGACCAACGUUGGGCUUGCUCUUAGGCAGUUGUAUUCUGAAUUUUUGUUAGUGUGAUGGGUGGGAAGCUGCUCGUGGGGUUUUAUAGCUGUAUAGUUUUGUUCCACUCUAAUUAACAUGAGCAUAUGUAUUUCGUUCAACAAAAGAAAUAUGAG
rnacentral:lncRNA from 1 species